AUUGAACGCUGGCGGCAGGCCUAACACAUGCAAGUCGAGCGGAUGAAGGGAGCUUGCUCCUGGAUUCAGCGGCGGACGGGUGAGUAAUGCCUAGGAAUCUGCCUGGUAGUGGGGGAUAACGUCCGGAAACGGGCGCUAAUACCGCAUACGUCCUGAGGGAGAAAGUGGGGGAUCUUCGGACCUCACGCUAUCAGAUGAGCCUAGGUCGGAUUAGCUAGUUGGUGGGGUAAAGGCCUACCAAGGCGACGAUCCGUAACUGGUCUGAGAGGAUGAUCAGUCACACUGGAAAUGAGACACGGUCCAGACUCCUACGGGAGGCAGCAGUGGGGAAUAUUGGAAAAUGGGCGAAAGCCUGAACCAGCCAUGCGCGUGUGUGAAGAAGGUCUUCGGAUUGUAAAGCACUUUAAGUUGGGAGGAAGGGCAGUAAGUUAAUACCUUGCUGUUUUGACGUUACCAACAGAAGAAGCACCGGCUAACUUCGUG
rnacentral:rRNA from 1 species